rnacentral:rRNA from 1 species
UACGUAGGCAGCAAGCGUUGUUCGGAGUUACUGGCGUAAAGGGUGCGUAGGCGGUCCUAUAAGUAUGGUGUGAAAUCUCCCGGCUUAACUGGGAGGGUGCGCUAUAGACUGUGGGACUAGAGUGUGGGAGAGGAAAGUGGAAUUCCUGGUGUAGCGGUGAAAUGCGUAGAUAUCAGGAGGAACACCGGUGGUGUAAACGGCUUUCUGGACCAUAACUGACGCUGAGGCACGAAAGCGUGGGUAGCAAACAGG